rnacentral:rRNA from 1 species
AUGAACGCUGGCGGCGUGCUUAACACAUGCAAGUCGAACGAUGAAGCCCAGCUUGCUGGGUGGAUUAGUGGCGAACGGGUGAGUAACACGUGAGUAACCUGCCCUUAACUCUGGGAUAAGCCUGGGAAACUGGGUCUAAUACCGGAUAGGAGCGCCUACCGCAUGGUGGGUGUUGGAAAGAUUUAUCGGCUUUGGAUGGACUCGCGGCCUAUCAGCUUGUUGGUGAGGUAAUGGCUCACCAAGGCGACGACGGGUAGCCGGCCUGAGAGGGUGACCGGCCACACUGGGACUGAGACACGGCCCAGACUCCUACGGGAGGCAGCAGUGGGGAAUAUUGCACAAUGGGCGAAAGCCUGAUGCAGCGACGCCGCGUGAGGGAUGACGGCCUUCGGGUUGUAAACCUCUUUCAGUAGGGAAGAAGCGAAAGUGACGGUACCUGCAGAAGAAGCACCGGCUAACUACGUG